rnacentral:lncRNA from 1 species
CUAUGUCAGGCCCAUUACUAACCAAAACGUCACAGGUGGUCAGUCCAUGGCUGUGCAGGUAUUUAUACUGUGGAUUUUUUUUUUCUUCUUGUGGUGGCAGGAAUUGAACCCACCGAGCCACAUUCCCAGCUACUUUUAAAUCUUUUUACUUUGAGACAGAAUCUUGCUGAGUUGCCCAGGCUGGCUUCAAACUUGCCAUCUUCCUGCCUCAGCUCUGUAUCGCAGGCCUUUAAACAUGCAAAUCACCGCCACACUCUAGCUGAGCACGGCCCCUGCCCCCUGCCUCCCGUCCUCCAUGCUGCGUCCCCUUUGCACAGCCCACGACCCUUGGGUCACAGCGCUGCCCCACCUCAUCUCAGAGAGCCCUGGGGACUCUAUCACCCUCGGGACUCUAUCGCCCUCCCUGCCUCUCCCCUCCUGGUCCCCCGUGUGUCCUUCCAGCCCUUGCUACUUGGCAACACAAUAUCUUACUUUCUUCUUCAUAGUUUCUCUUCCUGGCUGGUGACUUGCUCACCAGUCCCUGCACCCAGAGCCCGCUGUACCAAGCCUGCUCCCUGAGGGGUCAGUGUUGUCAAGCCCGGGUCAGCCCUGGGGUACAAGCCCAGGCUGCCCUCGAACUCACCAAAAUCCUCCUGUCUCAGCCUUCUGAGUGCUGAGAUCACAGCAUCUUCCUACUGCAGAUGGGGAAAUGGAGGCAUGAAGAGAGGAAAGUCAAAGCGUGAGGUCACACAGCUCCACACUGGCAGUGCCAGGCUGUUUGCCACACUUUCCUUGGCCAGCACCAAAGGGCAGCAUCUUCUGCAGUGAGAAGCAGGAUCUGAAUCAUUGCCUCUUGGAAGUUGCAAAGCAUUCCUCAUCGAACUGCAGCACAAGAAACUGAAAACCGGAGUGCUGUGUAAUCCCAGCACUUGGGAGGCUGAGGCAGGAGGAUCGCCAUGCAUUCAAGGCCAACCUGGGCUACAUAAUGAACUCAAGGCCAGCCUGCACUGCAUGGCAAGACCUUGUCUAAUUAGUAAAUAAAUACAUAGAUAAAAAGUUGCAACCCAGCCAAAGCAGGGCUACGGACAAGUACUAGGGAAUCUCGGUCAUCAUGUUUUGUCUCUGAAAUGUCUGUGGCUGGGAUCUCCCUGCAUGGCCUGAGAUCUCUGCUGAGGCCCAGGCAGCAGAGCCUGGGGUUGGAGGAGGCUGUGAGCCCCAGAAGCCCCAACGAGAAGGGCGUUAGGCUGAACCCAAAGUUCCCCCCGAAGGGACCUGCGGCUCCUCUUAGGGCCCCCCGCCCUGCAAGUCCCCAGUGAGAGUCCAAGCCUGCAGCCCGGCCGGGAGUGCUGGGACAGGGCAGCCACCUGCC